CAGCCAGUUAGAGGGGCAGAGACGCUGCAGUUUUAAGCCACAGAACAAGUCUAGCCUGAGUGUAGGGUUUCUGAUGGUGAGUUACAAUGGCUAUGCAUACACUCAAAUCGAGUUCUUUAUUAUAGGGUACCUAUAAAUGUGUACAUCACAUUUGUACCCCUAAAAGUCCUGCCCUUUAGUUCAGUGGAUUCUGGAUUCUGAGGAUACUCUUGGUCCUUUCCAGAGAUGAAGGCAGGCAGGGGUCAGGGCCCACAGAAGGGAAUCCCUAUAUUCUUGGGGUUGUCUGAGCCAGGGCUCAUGCCUGUCUGGUGCUUUCAACCAAACCUCUCUCAUGGGCUCUGUAAAAGGAACAAUCAGGCCAUUCUGAAUCCCCCAGAUCUUGUACCUACCUUUUAGAAUUGUCUUGAGAGUGUGUGUGCUGAUUCUCCUAAAGUACUUCGUGUGGUUCCUGACCUAUAAUAAGUGCUUCAUAAAUCUUAGUCAUUAUUGUUAAAAUCCCAAAGAGUGGUUUUGCUCGAGUCUGAAUCCAAAAAGGAAGCUCCAGGUAAGAGGAGAAACUAGAGAACAGGACACAGAAACCAUCCUGUGUUUUUUCUAUCCUGUGAAACCAUCACCAUGACACUGGCCUUCCCUCUCAGUGUGGCCUCAUCCUCCAUGUCCCUCCCUGUAGUCCCCUUAACUGUGAAGUGUCCAGCCUCUCCAGCACUUACUCCCAGGCCCAGCUCCACUUCAGGCAGGCCUGCUGGGGCUCAGAAUAGCCCAGCUGCUGUCUCAGCAGAUGGCCAGGCUAAUUUUAGCCAUGUGGUACUCACCCAGGGACCAGGCUGGGCUUUUUAGAUUUGAAUAAGCCAGUGUGCAACUUUGGUUUAGAGCCAAUAACAAAGUUUGGAGCUGUUGUGAUCUCUGUGUCUGCCUAGCACUUUAUAAGAUUCCAGAAAUAUAAUUUUAAAGGAUUUUGUUUCUGUGAACCAACAAGAACCCAAGCUAUGGAGCCAGCAGGCAGUCAAGCCAGCAGGGUAUUGAUGGAGGGUGGUGAGAAGCAGAUGGUGGCACCAGCUCCUGCCUCUUCUCCCUGAUGACAAGCGGGUGGCAGGGCCUCAGUAUCCCGGGUGCACUGUGCUCUCACUGCUCUCCUGGCCAAAGUGAAAGAAGGCAGCAGCCAACUCAGCCUCCUGGAUCAUCCUCUGAACCACUCGUGGGUGGCAGGCUGCAUCUUCAUGCUGUGGAACAACUGUGGUCCGGAAGAAGUCAGCCAGAUGCCAGCAAGAACCUACUCUGGCACUUUCAUGUGCAGUCCCUCGAGACAACCUAAUGUGAAGUAGGCAGAUGUGGAAACAGGCUCAGAGAGGUAAGAGGUCCCAAGAGAGGCUGAGAUUGAGCCAGGUUGAGAACGUGUCUUUUCCAUUGUGAUGUUUCUACCUUAUUGUUCUUCAUAUGUGAAGACUGCCUUUCAUCCCAGUUCUUCCAGAGAGUUCAGAGACAACACACAGUGACUCGGAAAGCCACAUUCCAGCCUGCCUUCACCUUUCCAUGAUUAAUUUCUAGUUGCAGAAGCAAGUUGACCAGAGAAGACAGUAGAAUGAGGAGACCAGACUAGUCAUGCUUCCUAAACUGGGUCCAUGAACUCUUAAAAGUUGGUUUGGGUGGUCUUUGGGGAAUCUGUUUGUCAGUUGAGCUGCUUUCAGCUUAAAAAAUAAAAAGGAAAGCCACAUUUCAAGAAGUGGGAGCCAGACACUGUGGCUCACACCCGUAAUCCCAACUCUCGGGAAGGCCAAGGCAGGAGGAUCUCCAGAGGCCAGGAGUUUUAAGACCAGCCCAGCAGCAUAAUGAAACCCUGUCUCUACAAAAAAUUUAAAAACUUGGCCAGGCAUGGUGGCUUGUGCCUGUAGUCCCAGCUGCUAGGGAGGCUGUGGUCGGAGGAUCACAAUCACUUGAGCCCCGGGGUUCCGGCCUGCAGUGAACUGUGAUCACAUCACAUCGCUGCACCAGUCUGGACGACAGCGAGACCUGACUCUAAAAAAACAAGGUUGGGUGCGGUGGCUCAUGCCUGUAAUCCCAGUACUUCGGGAGGCUGAAGUGGGAGGAUCACCUGAGGUCAGGAGUUGGAGACCAGCCUGGCCAACAUAGUGAAACCCCAUCUCUAGUAAAAAUACAAAAAUUUAGCCAGGCAGAGUGGCACGUGCCUGUAGUCCCCGCUACUUGAGAGGCUGAGGUGGGAGAAUUGCUUGAACCCAGGAGGCAGAGGUUGCAGAGAGCUGAGAUGGCGCCACUGUGCUCCAGCCUGGGUGAGGCAACAUAGUGAGAUUCUGUCUCAAUUUUUUUUUAAUAAAAAUUUUUAAAAAUUGAUGUUUGCAGCGUUGGUUAAUUCUGCUUCUCUGUUUCUCUUGGCUUUUCAUGGUUGCCAGAUGGCAGUUGGACACCUAGCACCACCAUCCAGAGGCAGGAAAGGAGAGUUACCCCCUCAUCUUUUACCAGAGAGAAAAACUUUUCUCCAUUGUUCCCAAUAGUCCUGUCUUCUCAUCUCAUUGCCUAGGGGUUGGGGCACAUGCCUGUGCCCCACAGCUGCAGGAAGGCUGGAGUUAGAGUAUCAGGCACGGUGCAGGAUGUCAGCAAGGACAAAGGGAGUGAAGAAUGUGGCCUGAGAGCGUGUCAUGCCCUAGAAAUUGUGCACAGAAGCUGAGACACGGGCACUUUUGUGGGUAGUGGGUCCAUAAGCCCAUCAGAUUCUCAGCGGCCCUUGAGCUCAAGGUCUUUAGAACUUCAGGUGCAGAUCAUCACUAAGGUUCCCUCAGCUGCUUAAUGUUCUUU
rnacentral:lncRNA from 1 species